AAUACUACCUGGAGCUGCUGUGACCACUCUAGGAUAUUACCCCCAUCCAUCCUCAACUUGGGAAAGUCAACAGGCGGAAGAGCGCAUGCGCGAAGUCCAUUUCAGCUUCGCCGUCGCUGUGGAAGGACCUGUUCAUCGCGGCUCUGCUGUAGAGGCCUCUGCCGGUCAGGUAGGCCUCAGCUUUGGCCUUGGGGGUCCAGGUGUGCUCCGGAAGGCGUCGUCCAGCAGCUGCUUCUCCGGAAUGAAGAUCCUGGCGGUGCUGGGGCUCUGGCGAUGGCUGUUCAUCUUAUCAUCACUUGGAUACAUUAGGAACUGAAACACGGAGGAGUGUGCCCACCUUUUAUACCUGUGGGCGGGGAUUCAGGUGAAAUUACUGCAGCUGAUAUGAGGAGAUUUUCUGCUGUUGGAAAAAAAUCCAUUUGGUUCAGUUCCAAGCUGGGAAAAAUGCUGGAAACAACAUAGAGGCUGGACGCUGUUUGGAAAGUUGGUUUAUUGAUGAACAGAACUACCAG